rnacentral:rRNA from 1 species
GACAGAGGGUGCAAACGUUGCUCGGAAUUAUUGGGCGUAAAGCGCACGUAGGCGGUAUGGCAAGUCCCAUGUGAAAGCCCACGGCUCAACCGUGGAAGUGCAUGGGAAACUGCCGUACUUGAGUACUUAAGAGGAUCGUGGAAUUCCCGGUGUAGAGGUGAAAUUCGUAGAUAUCGGGAGGAACACCAGUGGCGAAGGCGGCGAUCUGGGAAGAUACUGACGCUGAGGUGCGAAAGCGUGGGGAGCAAACAG